GAUGAACGCUGGCGGCGUGCCUAAUACAUGCAAGUCGAGCGAACAGACGAGGAGCUUGCUCCUCUGACGUUAGCGGCGGACGGGUGAGUAACACGUGGAUAACCUACCUAUAAGACUGGGAUAACUUCGGGAAACCGGAGCUAAUACCGGAUAAUAUAUUGAACCGCAUGGUUCAAUAGUGAAAGACGGUUUUGCUGUCACUUAUAGAUGGAUCCGCGCCGCAUUAGCUAGUUGGUAAGGUAACGGCUUACCAAGGCAACGAUGCGUAGCCGACCUGAGAGGUGGAGGGGGCGGGAGGGAGCAGGCACGCGGAGCAGGCGACUACGGGACGGAGCAGUGGGGUGUGUGCGACAAUGGGCGAGGGCUUGACAGCGUAAUGGCGAGGGAGUGAAGAAUGUUGUCGGAAAGUAAAACUGUGUUAUUAGGGAAGAACAAAAAUGCAAGUGAAAACGCAGUGCCUGCAGGUACGGAAAUAGAAAGCCGAGGCUAACUCGGGG
rnacentral:rRNA from 1 species